AUGAUUCCAGGACCUGGAAUCAUACCAGCCGAUGGCACGACCCUCUUUUGUUGGAUAUUAUGUACUCUUGUUAGUUUGAAGCACUCCUCUGGUUUUAAGGAUAUAUACCUUCCUGGGAUCAAGUGCAUCCUAACUCACCUGCUACCAUAUAACUGGAAUUACCGAUGCAAGUCGAAGAAGGAUUGGCCGGUGCUGCCGGCUGGCAUCAAGUUCGAUCCCACGGAUCAGGAGCUGAUUGAGCACCUUGAGGCCAAAGUGAGUGCUGACAGCGCGAGAUUUCAGUCUCUCAUCGAUUUGUUCAUACCAACCAUCGACAGCGAGCAUGGCAUAUGCUACACCCAACCUGAGAAACUUCCAGCAAAAAAGGUUCUGGUGCUGCACACCAACAAGAACUUCGACCAGCAGAGGACCAACUGGGUGAUGCACCAGUACCACCUCGGGGACCUGGAGCAAGAGAAGGAGCAGGAGCUGGUCCUCUGCAAGAUUUUCUACCAGACAAACACUAGGGCCAGGAGUCGAGCAAGUUUCAACUGGGCUGUAGACUGCCCAGGGUUGGUUUUGUUUUUAACAGGCCCAGCCCAUGACGACAACGGGGCACAAAGAUCUAGCAGGUAG
rnacentral:rRNA from 1 species